UUUUAAAUUAUGAUUCUACCGAAGACUCAGGUGGUGCAAACCUUAAUAUCCUGCCGAGGAGACUUGAAUAAACUCUCUCUCUAUGUCUUCGUGAACAUAGGGUUUUUUAUUUUAAUAA
rfam:Lactobacillus agilis DSM 20509 NODE_27, whole genome shotgun sequence.